rnacentral:rRNA from 1 species
AUACGGAGGGUGCAAGCGUCAUUCGGAAUCACUGGGCGUAAAGGACGCGUAGGCGGGUUGGCAAGUCAGAUGUGAAAUCCUACAGCUUAACUGUAGAACUGCAUUUGAAACUGCUAACCUAGAGUAUGGGAGGGGGAGAUAGAAUUAGUGGUGUAGGGGUAAAAUCCGUAGAUAUCACUAGGAAUACCGAAAGCGAAGGCGAUCUCCUGGAACAUAACUGACGCUAAGGCGUGAAAGCGUGGGGAGCAAACAGGAUUAGAAACCCCAGUAGUCC